rnacentral:rRNA from 1 species
ACUCAAAUGAAUAGACGGGGGCUCACACAAGCGGUGGAGCAUGUGGCUUAAUUCGAGGCUACGCGAAGAACCUUAUCCUGGGCUUGACAUGUCCGCAAGGGGUAGGAAGUAGGCCGGCGGAAACGUUGGCCGAUUCGGUAUCCAGUCCGAGAACCUACCACAGGUGCUGCAUGGCUGUCGUCAGCUCGUGUCGUGAGAUGUCGGGUUAAGUCCCAUAACGAGCGAAACCCUUGCCUCCAGUUGCCAGCGAGUAAAGUCGGGGACUCUGGAGGGACUGCCGGUGUUAAACCGGAGGAAGGUGGGGAUGACGUCAAGUCCUCAUGGCCUUUAUGCCCAGGGCUGCACACGUGCUACAAUGGCAUGAACAAAGGGACGCCAACCCGCGAGGGGGAGCAAAUCCCAAAAAACAUGCCCCAGUUCAGAUUGAAGGCUGCAACUCGCCUUCAUGAAGUUGGAAUCGCUAGUAAUCGCAGGUCAGCAACACUGCGGUGAAUGUGUUCCUGAGCCUUGCACACACCGCCCGU